rnacentral:lncRNA from 1 species
UUGCAUAGGGGCAAUAGUUGAUCCACUGAAUCUCUAGGCACAAGCAAAAUGAAUUGAAGAAUCUUUUGAUAUUAUCGAUGACUUAAAACGUAUAUGUUCUCUUCUGUGAUUACUUUCCAUGCUAGUGUGGGCCAAAAUCCAUAUCUAUGUGAAUCUGGUCAAUGCAAUUUCGAGAAGAAACAGAAGAACAUUGUUACGGCGCCCAUAGUAGCAUCAAUUAGUGGGGUGUUGAUUCUUUUUGUAGCCGUGGCAAUAUUGUGGACCCUUAAAAGGAGAAAAUCAAAAGGUAAUGCUGCGAUUUUAAAAGAUUCCUAUUUUUUUAUCAAUGAUUUGCCAAACAAAUUGAUAUAUUUCAAGACUCUGAAGUAGGUUGUCCAGUGUCAAAUUCAAAUUCCAGGGAAUCAUUUUCAUUUGUCGGCCUCACAGCAGUUUUCAUUACUGUCGAUGGCAAGUGAUAUGCAGUAUGGUUCAAGGAGUCGACGGUGAAGGAAGUAUUGAGUGGUGUAGAAUCAGGAAGUUAUACGGAUACCACAUUCGAUCGUAAUCAUCUUUGUCAUACCUACAUGUCAUCAAACAACAUAAAAACCAAAACAAGUAAAGCUAGAUUCAAUUCUUAUCUAGACAAACAGAAGUUAAAUCCACAUGACUUGUAUAGAAAUUAAACUUGGUUUAAUAUCCGUGGAAUGGCUUACAUAUGUAACAGAUUUAUAAGUUCAGACAGGCUUUGCUAAUAAGUAAC